UUUUCCUACCAGCUUCAGUGUGGCUGGUUUUUAGCUUGUCUGUGAUGCAGGAGCCUUCUAACUAGUUUCUGGAUUUCUCUUUAAGGGAGUUGAUCUGUGUAUUUUUGCUUGUUGCAUUGGUGCCCCUUGGGGGAAGGAAGUUCUCUGACUUUCUUUCUAUUCUUUCCACCAUCUUGCUGACAUUACCAGUCUCUAUUUUAUUAUUUGUUUUAUUUCUUCUCUUUCUUCUUCCUUUUUUUUUUUUGAGACAGGGUCUUGUUUUAUUACCUAGGUUGCUGGAGUGCACUGGUGCAAUCGGAUCAUUGCAGCCCUGAACUCCUGGGCUCAAGUGACCCUGUAGCUAAGACUACGGGCAUAUGCCACCAUACCUGGCUUUUUGUUUCAUUGUUGUAGAGAUCAUAUCUCACCAUGUUACCCAGGCUGGUCUCGAACUCCUGGCUGCAAACAGUCCUUCUAUCUUAGUCUUCCAAAGCACUGGGAUUACAGGAAUGAGCUACCAUGCCUGGCUUGUUGCCUCUGUUUCUUGUUAUUCUUCAAAUACUAGUUCAGCCCCACAUUCUUUCUCAUCUCCAGCUGGGAUUCUGAUGAUAACAUUUAAUUGUCCUAUCUUUUGUUAUUGUUCCACAGAUCCCUGAGGCGCUCGCUCGCUCGCUCUCUCUCUCUCUCUCUCUCUCUCUCUCUCUCUCUUUUUAAUACUAUUUUUUCUGUUUGCAUUGAGUAAGUUUUGUUGAUAUAUGUUUAACUUAACUGAUUCUGUUGUUUCUCACCUCUAAUCUACUAUUGAAUCCAUCUGGUGAGUUUUUAAUUCAAUUUUGGCUGUUGUAAUUUUUAAUUCUAUAAUUUACAUUUGAUUAAAAAAUAUCCUAUAUCUUUGUUUGCAUUUGUUUAAAGAUAUUUUUAAUUACUUGUUGAAGCACUUUUAUGACAGCAGUUUUAGCACCUUUAUCAGAUGAUUCCAACUUCAGAGUAAUCUUCGUUUUAGUGUCAGUUAAUUAUAUUUUCUCAGUCAAAUUGUCAUUUUCCUAGUUCUUUGCAUAAGGAGUGAUUUUCCAUUUCACCAUGGAUAUUUUGGUUACUGUUUUAGGAAUCUCUUGAUCCUGUUUAAAUCUUCUGUUUUAGCAAGCAAUGAUCCUUUUUAGGUUUAGAAUAUAGGUUCUGGCCUACUAUUGUGGGGUUUAAACUAAUGACAAAUUAGUUUUCAGAGCCAUUUUAAUGCCAUUAUAAUGUGUUUUGUCGUUCUGAUGCUGCUGCAGCUCCCAUUCAUUCCCUAUUAGUGCCAUCUGCCAUAGCACAAAGUACUCUCCUGGACCACCUGGUUUCAUUGAGUCACAAGCUACUGGAACUAGGUCUUCUUGUGCCAGUUAAUAGAGGACUAGAAAAUGGUGGUGUCAUCCUGGGUUUGGAAUGGAAAUUCGGUGGGACCAGCCUUUCUUUGCUUCCACUGUGAGUAAACCUGCCUGCAAGUGCUACAGGUGUUGAACCAGGCUUGAGCUGAACUGCUGGAAGUUCUCUGCUACUUCUGUGAGCUAUCAGUGUUCUAGGUGUGGAUCAGGAGUUAAGAUGGCACAUCAGGGUUUGGAAGCUACUUAUGUGAGCAAAUCAGCCCACAUGCUGAUUUUCUUGUUUUGGGUGGAAGUUGGAUCUUCCAGGACCUUUGCAGCUGCCUCUGUGCAAAUCAGGUUAUCUUUGGGAAACUUGGUUAUAGAACAGGAGUUGGGGCUCUCCACUAAGGUUCCUGUUGGACUUUUUACCAGAAUGUAGGCCAGAGAAAGCAGGGUUAAAUUUCUUUUUGUUUUUGUUAUUGUAAUUGUUGUUGUUUAUGCCUGUUGGCAGUUCUGUAUCACAGGUCUCCCCACUGCCUAAUUUGGGAUAUUUAGGAAGUAACAAGAAAACUCAGGGAACUCAUAGCACUCUUAUUCCUCAAAUCUUUAGGUUGCUAAUUCAUACACUUUCUUACCACAUUUUAGAGUCAUUUUAUUAUUUCUGUUCAGUAAUUUUCAGAGUUUUUAGUUGAAUUUAGAGGAUGGUAGCAUGGAAAAGUAAGUCUACACCAUCUUGUUCCAGAGACUCUGGACAUAAUUUAAUGGUAAAAUUAACAAGAUUUGGUGAUAGAUUGCAUUUUGGGUGUGAGAGAAAAAGAUUCAACGGUUGUUUUAAGGAUUUUAUUCUAAGCAACAAAGUUAGUGGUGGCACCAUCUACCAAGAAGGGAAACACUGGAGGAAAACCAGGUCUGGUGGGAUUAGGGCUGGGAAUUAAGAGUUUGUUACGUUUGAGGUAUGUAAGUGAUAAUGUCUAAUACAAAGUUGGAUUUACCAAUAUGUAUUUCAAGGAUGGAGAUAUAAGUUUGAAAGUCAUCAGAUUAUAAAUUGUAAAUGCAGUUACGAGAGUAAGUACAAUAACUUAGUGAAUGAGUAUAGAGAAGAGAAUAAGUCCAAGGACCUACUCUGGCACAUUCCUACAUUUAUAGUUCAGGGAGUAAAAGAAUCUAAUGAAACAGAUGAGAAUGAGUAGCUGGUAAGGUAGGAGGAACAUAAGAACAAAUUAUUGUCAUGAAAUCCAAGUGAAGUAGAUGUUUCCAGAAUGAGGGCAUAACCAAUUGUCACAAAUAGUGCUGAGAGAUCAAGCUAGAUGUAGUUUGAGGAUUGAAUAUAGGAUUUGGCAAUAUGGAGAUUAUCAGUGAUCUUAGUAAGAGAGAUUUCAGUGGAGCCUUGAAAUCAAAGUGAUUGAAGUAUUUUCAGGAGAGUGAUAAUACAUGGUAUGGAGACAGGGAGAACAGACAGCUCUCUUGAGGAAUUUUUUUUGUUUUAUUUUUUUGGGUACAUGGUAGGUGUAUAUAGUAAUUGGGUACAUGAGACAUUUUGAUAUAGGCAUGUAACACAUAGCAAUCACAUUGUAGAAAAUGAGUCAUCCAUACCCUCAAGCAUUUAUACUUUGUGUUAGAACAAUCCAAUUAUACUUUUUAAGUUAAGUUAAAAUGUACAAUUAAAUUAUUGUUUGCUAUAGUCACCAUUUUUUGCUAUCAAAUAUUAGAUCUCAUUCAUUCAUUCUUUCUAAUUUUUGUACCCAUUGUACCCAUUAGUUAUCCCCAUUUUCCCCAAAGCCCCCCAAUACCCUUCUCAGCCUCUGGUAACCAUCCUUCUACUCUCUAUCUCCACAAGUUCAAUUGUAGAUUCCACAAAUGAGUGAAAACAUGUGAUGUUUCUCUUUCUGCACCUGGCUUAUUUCACUUUACAUAAUGAGUGAGUGCCAACUGAGUGGCAGUACAAGAGAACACUAGGUAGACUUGUAAGGUUUUUGACUUCAGUCUCUAACACUUGGAUGGCACCUCUGGACCCACCUGGGACCUGAGGGACCUCACUGUCCUGAAGGAAAAAAUACAGGCCUGGUCUGGCUUGCUUUGCCACCUUCUGAUUAAGGAGCCCCAAGGCCUAGAGUGAACAUAGGCAGUAGCCAAGGGGUGGUUACAUCAGUCCUUGGGCAAGACCUAGUGCUGUACUGGAUUCAGAUCUGACCCAGCACAGUCAUAAUGGUGGUGGCCAGAGGGGUGCUUAUGUCAUUCCACCCCUACUAUAGGUUGCUCAGAGUGCAGAAAGAGACUGUGUGGGAGAAAGAAAGGGAAGAGUGCAAACAUACGCCUGGUAAUUUGAAGAAUUUUUCUGAAUUUUGUCCAAGACUAUCAAGGCAGUACCUCUAUAAAUCUGCAAGAACCACUGUGUUACUGGACUGAGGUUACACACAAAAGGAGAUACAGAUUAGAACACAACAUGGAAAUACUUUUAAAUAUCUGAAAAGCCUUCCUGAGAAGGAAAAGUACAAACAAGCUCAGACAGUGGACUACAAUAAAUCCUUAGCUCUUGAAUACCCAAACACUAAAGGAAAUAUACUGACAUCAACACUACCCAGGGAAACAUGACCUCACCAAGUGAAUUAAUUAAGCCACCAGGGGCUAAUCCCAAUAAACAGAGAUAGAUGAUCUUUCAGACAGAUAAUUCAAAAUAACUGGGUUGAGGAAACUCAUAGAAGUUCAAGAUAACACAGAGUUGGAAUUCAGAUUUCUCUCAUAUAUAUUUAACAAAGAUAUUAAAAUAAUUUUUAAAAAUUAAGCAGAAAUUCUGCUGCUGAAAAAUUCAGUUGACAUAUUGAAGACUGCAUUGGAGUCUCUCAACAGCAUAAUUGACCAAACAGAAAAAAGAGUAAUGAGCUCGAAGACAGACUUUUUGAAAAUACAGUUUGAGGAAACAAAAGAAAAAAGAAUAAAAUCAAUGAAGCACAUAUAUAAAAUCUAGAAAAUAUCCUCAAAGGGGCAAAUCUAAGAGUUACUGACCUUAAAUAAGAAGUAGAGAAAGAAAGAGAUGGGGUAGAAAGUUUAUUCAGAGAUAAUACAUAGAAGUCCCAAACCUAGAAAAAAGAUAUUAUAAGAAGUUUAUAGAUCACCAAGCAUAUUUAACUGAAAGAAGACUACCUCAAGGCAUUUAAUAAUCCAACUCCCAAAUGUCUAGGAUAAAGAAAAAAUUCUAAAAGCAGCAAGAGAAAAGAAAGAAUUAACAUACAGUGGAAUGUCCAAAUAUCUAGCAGUAGAUAUUUCAGUAGAAACCUUACAGGCUAGGAGAGAGGGCAUGAUAUAUUAGAAGUGCUAAAGAAAAACAACAAAAAAAAAUAAAACUCUCACUCUAUAAUAGUAUAUCUGGUGAAAAUAUCCUUCAAACAUGAAGGAGAAAUAAAGGCUUUUGAGCAGUGCAGCUAUGGUGGUGGCAGCAGUGGCAGUGGUUGCAAUUUGGAGCCAUUGAGAUGCCUCUGUGGCAGCUUGUGGCACAAGUGGCUUGCAUGGAUGUGGGUAUAGGUGUCCGCCAGUAACCUCAACCUUGGCAUCCACGGCCCCAGCAUGUGUGUCCAGAAGCCUCAAGGCGUCCUCCGCCACCCACUGGCCUAGGAGCAUGGCUUGUGUCCGCCGCCCGCGUUCCCAUGCUGCUGCAUCUCCGCACCACCUCCCGGGCUUUGGAUCCCCAGCUGCGCCCCUGAAACAUGACUAGUGAUUUCAAAUCUGUAGACCUCAUCUUCACCAAGAUGAAAGGUUGUCCCCAUUGACCAGCUCGAGUAGAUGAAGUUUAUGAUGGAGCUAUAAAGCCAACUACAAACAAACUACCCAUUUUCUUUUUUGGAACCCAUGAGACUGCUUUUUUAGGACCAAAGGAUAUAUUUCCUUACUUCAAAAAUAAGGAAGAGCAUAACAAACCAAAUAAAAGAAAAGGUUUUAAUGAAGAUUUAUGGGAGACAGAUAACAAUACAAAAGUGAAAUUUUCAAGUCGACAGGCAGCAACUGAACAAUCAAAUGCAUCAUCUGAUGUUGAAGUUGAAGAAAAGGAAACCAGUGUUUCAAAGGAAGAUACCAUGAAGUAAAGGCCAGACAUGAGGAUGUGACUAAAGCAGUUGACAUAACUAGUCCGAAAGCUGCCAGAGGAGAAAGAGAAAGACAGAAAAACAAGUAGAAACUGAGAGUGCAGGAGUAGUGACAACAGCAACAGCAUCUGUUAAUCUAAAAGUGAGUCCUAAAAGAGGAUGACCUGCAGCUACAGAAGUCAAGAUUCCAAAACCAAGAGGCAGACCCAAAGUGGUUAAACAGUUCUGUCCUUCAGAUAGUGACAUUGUUACUGAAGAGGACAAAAGAAAAAGGGUUAAGAGGAAAAACAACCUAAAAAGCAGCUUAAUAAGGAGGAAGAGGGCCAGAAGGAAGAAGAUAAGCCAAGAAAAUAGCCAGAGAAAAAAGAGAGGAAGAAAGAAGUUGAAUCAAAAAGGAAAAAUUUAGCUAAAACAGGGGUAUGUCAACCUCUGAUUCUGAAGAAGAAGGAUAUGAUCAAGAAGGUGAAAAGAAGAGAAAAGGUGGGAGGAACUUUCAGACAACUCACAGAAGGAAUAUGCUGAAAGGCCAACAUGAGACAGAAGUGGCAGAUCGAAAAUGCAAGUGAGAGGAACAAGUGGAAACUGAGCAGUGGAAUAAAGAUGAAGGAAAGAAGCCAGAAGAUAAGAAAGUGGAGAAGUGAGAAACAUCAAUGGAUUCUCGACUUCAAAGGGUACAUGCUGAGAUUAAUAAUUCACUCAAAAUUGAUAAUCUUGAUGUGUACAGAUGCAUCUGGAGACCUCAUCUUCACCAAGGUGAAAAAAUACAGUGAUUCAAAGUUAGGUUAUCAUGAAAAUCUACAAUGUUGUAUAACAGGUUUAAGAAACAUGUUUUUGGUUGGUGAAGGCAAUUCUGUGAUCACACAAAUGCUGAAUAAAUCUCUUGCUGAACAACAACAGCAUGAGGAAGUGAAUAAAACCAAAGAUCAAGGGAAGAAAGGGCCAAACAAAAAGCUAGAAAGGGAACAAACAGGGUCAAAGUCUCUAAAUCGGGGAUCUGGUGCUCAAGACAGCCACAACAUAACGGGGAGAGCAAUGAAGAGAGCUAAGAUAACCAUGAAGCCAGCAUGAAGAAAAAACCAUCCAGUGAAGAGAGAGAGACUGAAAUAUCUCUGAAGGAUUCUACACUAGAUAACUAAGUUGACAUACCUAGAAUAUAGAGAAUACUUGAGAAUUUUGUAAUGGUUUUUAUUUGAAAUAGACUGAUGGAAGUUUUAAAUUUUUACAAGAAUAGGUUUUCAUGUUGAAAACUUGUUUUGAGGGAGAAAAAUUCCUUUAUCUUUGUUUUAAAGUAACUAAACAUUAUCUCUAAGUGUACUUGUGCAGUAUUAAGAGCUACAUUAUACAGUAAAUGUGAGGUAAAAUCCAUUUAGAAAAUGUUAAACUGCUUUUCCAGAUGUGGUUGUAGCAUAUUUUCAAUUAGUAUGAGUAUUUUAUUGUGUAAUAGAUAGUAGAACAAAGUUACAUUUUUAAAACUGCUGCUUGUAUAAACCUUUCCUCCUUUUCCAAAUACCAUGGGUUUUGUGCAUAGUUUUACAAACCUUGGAUUUACCAGACUGUCUUUUCUCUGUUUGUGCGUUUUGUAGAAGCUGAGCAUUUUUAUUGUAGAUAAAAUGUUACUUUAUAAAAGUACUCCCCUUUUAUCAAAAGUUAAUUUUAAUCUCACAGUUUACGUUGUGCUACAUUAUCUGACUUCUUUGGAACAAUGUGUAGUCUGUAUGUUUUUUUUUUUUUGGGGAUGACAACUGGUUAACCAACUGACAUUGAAUUGAUUGAGAAUUCUACAAAUUAUAAAACUUACAUUAAUAUUUGAAGGUGAUUUUGUUUUGUGGCUGGGCAUUCAGUGAAGUCUUAUGACUUUUCUGCAGAUAACAGACUGGGUAUAUAUAGGAAUGAAUCUGGCUUUAGUGUUAAAUCAUUUAAGGUCCUUUUACAGGCAGGCACUAGUAACUAAAACUAAAAACUAAACAAGUUUAUUUUUGAAAAUGGCUCAAGCUUCUAUGUUGUUAAAAAUGUCUUUAAGAAGUCACUAAAUCAUUUUUAAUUGGAAGAAAAAAGUCCAUGAUGCUUGUAUAAGCAUCAUGUAUAAAUACAAUAAAUGCUAUAUAAGGAAACUUAUUGGAAGUUUUAUUUUCAUUUCUAGAUUCCAAUAAUACAAACAUUGGUUGUUUCAACAUAGUACUUUGAUAGUCUAUACAUUGACGUGUAUGGACUAAAUCAGGAUGAAAUCAAUGUUACAAAAUUUAAGAGUAUGUUAACUAAAGGAUGGCAUUUCUAAAUAUUUUGAAUAUUAGGUCAUUUGACAUUUUUCAAUAAGUAGGCUACUUCUCAUGUUUUGAAACUACAUGGAUAUGCAAGAAAUAGCUUAAGACCAGCAUCUGUUUAUGACAUUGUAUGGUUAACCCUCUGGGGUAACUGUUUUUAUUUACAGAAUUGAACUUUUGUUUUUAAGAAGUCUUACGGUGGAACUAGGGAUCACUGUUUUGAGAGAACCUGCAUAUAUAACAGUCAUUAUUUGUUUGGUCCUUAUACAGUUUUACCUUCGAUUUAUUCUAGUUAAGCCAUAAGUUUCAACAUUUAAACUUGUUUUGAUUGAAGAAUUUUUCCAUCAAA